rnacentral:pre_miRNA from 1 species
AGGUGAGGUAGUAGGUUGUAUAGUUUGUGGGAGGGAUUAAAUCCUAUUCAGGGGAUAACUAUACAGUCUAUUGCCUUCCUUGAGAGGCACAAUGAC